UGUGUAGGUGGUGUAAUUAGUCGGGUGUUAAACUUGGGGCCCAACCUCAAGAUCGCAUUCGAAACGGUUACACUAGAGGAAAUGAGGGGUGUGUGGAACUCACGGUGUAGGGGUGAAAUCCGUUGAUAUCGUGGGGAACACCAAAAGCGAAGGCAACACACUGGCAUUUUCCUGACACUGAGACACGAAAGCGUGGGUAGCGAACG
rnacentral:rRNA from 1 species